rnacentral:rRNA from 1 species
UACAGAGGGGGCGAGCGUUAUUCGGAAUUAUUGGGCGUAAAGGGCGCGUAGGCGGCCUUUCAAGUGACGGGUGAAAUCCCUCGGCUCAACCGAGGAACUGCGCUCUAAACUACAGUGCUCGAGGGAGACAGAGGUGAGCGGAACUUAGGGUGGAGCGGUGAAAUGCGUUGAUAUCCUAAGGAACACCCGUGGCGAAAGCGGCUCACUGGGUCUCUUCUGACGCUGAGGCACGAAAGCCAGGGUAGCGAACGGG